GACUGCCUCACCCAAGAUUGCAGAGCCGCAGUGCACACACACCCGGGCUCCAGCACAUGCUCCCAAUCUCUGUGCCACCUGCUUCUCAAGGACAAGGUGAAGACCCUUCUUAAAGAAAGACUGAUGGGUCCACAGGGGAAAACAGAGUUUUGUUCAGUACAGAGAGCAACAGCAACUGAUGAACUCCUCAAGUUUGAGGAGUUAUACUAGAAAUGCAGAGGUAAGUGGGAACUGGCCGGAAGACCAGAGAGCUUCAGCUUACAGUAUGAGACUAGGGGCCUCUGUGAGAAUGAGUGUCAGAUGGUUUUCAUUAAGAGGUAAAGAAUGUCAGCCAAGCGUAGCGGUGCACACCUGUAAUCCCCAGCUCAAGAAGCUGAGGCAGGAUUGCAAGUUCAAAUCCAGCCUCAGCAACUUAGCAAGACCCUAAGCAACUUAGUGAGACACUGUCUCUAAAUGAAACAUAAAAAAGGUUGGGGGUGUGGAUCCGUGGUUAAGCAACCCUGGGUUCAAUCCCUGGUACAAAAAAAAAAGUGCAGAAUGUCAGUAGGAAUGUUACAAAUCCUGGAGGAAGUAAGAAAAUAGCAUCUAAAAUAUCAGUUUGGCUAUUAAAAAUAUCUUUAUUUACAGAAAGUCCUUCCAUUCUCAAACUGUCUGCAGUGGUACACAAAAUCAUUUUUAUCAAACAUGAAUCAGCUUAAUUUGGUUGUAAAUUUCAUAUAAUUAGAGCAGCAAACUCUAUAGAUGUAAAGUGGAUCUUCUGUUUAUUGCACAUGCAAAGUUUUCCACUCAAAGCCAGGUGCAGUGGUGCACACCUAUAAUCCCAGUUACUUGUGAGGCUGAGGUAGGAGAAUCACAAGUUCAAAGCCAGCCUUAGCAAUUUAGUGAGUCACUGUCUCAAAAUAAAAAUAAUUUAAAAAUAAAAUGAGCUGGAGAGGUAACUCAGUGGUAGAGCACUUCCCUAGCCUGUUCAAAGCCCGGGUUUAAUCCCCAGUGCUGGGGGGAAAAAAAAUGUUUUCCACACAAAACUUUCAAAAGUUAGAGGUAUAAACUGGGCAUGGUGGGGCAUGCCUGGAAUCCUAGUGGCUCCGAGGCUGAGGAAGGAGGAUCAUAAGUUCAAAGCCAGCCUCAGCAACUUAGCAAGGCCCUAAGCAACUUAGAAAGACCCUAAAUCUAAAUAUAAAAAGGGACUGGGGAUGUGGCUCAGUAGUUAAGUGCCCCUGGGUUCAAUCCCUGGUACAAAAAAAAAAAAAAAAGAAGUCAGAGGUAAAAUUUAAUUCGAGAAAAGCUGACCCCUUGACUACUCAAGGCAACCAUAAUGUAUUGAAAUCUUCGCAUAAUACAGUGCCUUGAUUAUAAAUCAACUAAAGCUGGAUUGUAGGCCUCUGCUUGCAAGAGUCAGGCCAUUCCAGUCCCGUCUCCCAGUUAUUACUUAUAAGUUAAAUCAAACUGAACUAAACUGAACUGUGUUCUGUAUAUAAGCAAAGCAGACAGCCAGAGAGAAAUAUUAUAAAACUUAAAGUUACAUUUCUCCAGAAGAAGAAAAAAAAAUUAAGACAAACUUUUCCCUUUGUAGCAAAGCAAAUAUACUUUCACAUGAUAAUAGAUUUUCAUCAAGAUUUUGUUUCUAUGGGUUGUGGAUCUAAGUAUUCAUUUUAGGGAAUAUAAGUUUAAUCUUAAUCUAAUUAAUACAUUUUUCUAAUCAACGAUUUUUGCACAGCUAUUGGCCCAUCAGGAGCAUGCACACUGUCCUUCAUUGCUCCUGUCUUGCAGAAUGCAGCUUACCUUGCUUUUCCUGGUACUGAGGAUGGAUAUAAGAGAGCCAUUGCUAUUCUCCUGCUGCUGUUUUGGGAUCAGGCUCAAUUUUCUGGAGGCAGAAUGAUGAGCAUACUGCUUUAUGUCAAGAAUUGUACUGAGUAUGCAUUGAUAAAUAACAGGCAGAAUGCCUACCCUUGGGGAACCUAUGGUCUAACAUGCUCUUAGAACAACACUAAGCCAUGCCUUUGGGAGAUGCCCAUGUUUCAAUGAUCUACUAUAAUGUUCUAGAAAAAUAAUUCAGAAAAUAGUGAUGUUUUACAUAAAAGAAAUACAAUAUUACAAUCCUUAAAGUACAUCAUUAAAAAUUAAUAAAGAAGCCUAAUAAGAUAGUUGUUCAUUUUUCCAUUCCAUUUAAUUUACCAGUUAUUCAUAUUCAUUGUCAAGUAAGCGGAAACAGGUUCCAAAAAGUAACAUAAACUCAUAGAGAGCAAGCUUUCAGUUGAGAGAACUGAAUCCAUUUUGCUGUGACUAAGAAUUGACCAUCACAGUUUGAUUUCAGUGGAAAAAAUAUCACAAUGCUCCAUAAAUACCAGGUUUCUUUUUAAAGGCCAGGGUUAUAGGUGAAGAUACAUACUCUUGUUAAAAGGUGGCACCUACUGGCAGGAUAAUGUAUUGCAGCUCAGUUCUAUUAGACAUUAGUGAACAUACAAAAGGAAUCACAAUAAACAACAGUGAUAGUUUGGGAGAUUUUUGUUCCCCAACAUCCUAUUAGGUGCACUACUUAAUUUUUAGAGACUCCAAAUUCUACUAUGAAAGAUAAAACAGACAGAUCCUCUCCCUAAAUUUGGACUCAGUCAAUUAGGAUGACCAGUGAUGUUGAAUAUUAAGUAAAAGAUCCCAGAAAGAAGGGAUGGGUAUGUUAGGAUGCAGCAAUGGCAGAACCUGAAGUAGUGUCUGGGUCUAACAGCAGCAAUAGAAGGUCCUGAUCAGUUUAUUUAUGAUGGCUGGCCUUCCCUAGUUCCUGCCAAUUUUCAGCAUCUGCUUUUCCAAACAUCCUGCAAAUUCUUCACACUAUCCAAUAUUUUAGAUCUGGGAAUGUAGCUCAAUUGGAUCACUUGCCUAUCAGGCAUGAGGCCCCAGGUUUGACACCCAAGCAUCAAGGGAUUUUUAAAAAGAUAAAGAAAAAGCAACAACAAUUCAACAUUUUUUCCAAUUGUGCUAAAUCACAAAGAUACAUUAUCUCAUUUGGUCCUUCUGCCCCUGCCCCCCCCCCCCCCCAAAAAAAAAAACCCUAGGAGGAAAGAACAGAGAAGGAAAUGAGUCAGAAAGACUCACUUGCCAGAGUCACACAACUAGUGUGGGGAAAAAAAAUCCAAGUCUGAUGCUAGAACUAAUUUUCUUAAGCAUUUCACUACUUUGCAAAGCAAAAAAUGCUGAGACUUUUGAAAGCAUAAAAUUGGAAGAUAAGACUUGACCUAGGUAGGAAGUUUGUGGGAAGAUGUAGCUGGUAAGUUGCAGAAAGAAAUCCUGCAAGAAUGAUGGAAAUGAAAUACUGAGAUGAGACUGGAGGUAAUUUUAUCAUGAAAUUAAUGAAACGUAAGUGCUCUUCACUUGCAAGGGCCCUGUUCCAAAGUAUUAAAUUUUAUUUUUUUAUAAAUGCAUAUUCAUUUUCUCAAGGAAAUCCCCAAAAUGUGAUAAGAGUCAGAUUCCAUAAAACCUGAAUCAAUCCCUGGUUGAAUUCAUGAAUCUAUCAGAUUAGAGAUUCAAAAUCUAGAUCAAUAGAGACUAUAUCUAGAGACUCAAUUUCAGAUUUGGAGAUCAAGUGAGGGGUCUAUACUUAGAGAGCUAGGCUAUAGAACAUGGCUAAAAGCACAAACAACCCUGAAGGCCAUGCCCACUUUCCCAUGCUCUAUGGAAAAAGGGGGAGUUAGGAGUUAUUUCUCACCUGUCGAGACAGAGAUCAAUGCACACGGGUGGUGUUUUAAGAAUGCACAGGUCCCCACAUCCAUCUCAUCCAACAAGAGGGACAACAGAACAUCUUGCACCUUGAAGGUACAACGGCAGCAGCAAGCUGUGGGUGUGGGUCCUCCUCUCUCAGGCCCAGUCAUCAGGCCCUCAGAGAACCAGCUGGAUGUGGCCCUGACUCUAAAGAAGAUAAACAGACAAGCCUCAUCCAGGAGACUAGAAGGAUUCUACCUUGAUUUAAUAGACUGAUAUUUUGUUUAUAAUUAAUUUUGGUUGCACAACAAUAAUAUUUAUCUUGAGUGCAAAAAUUUUGGCACACACUUCUAUUUGUACCUUAGGUGAGUGUCUCACCUCUUACCCUCAUCCUGGCCCUUAUUAAGUGUAUAGAGAAUCACCAGGCAUGCAAAAGCUUAGGUUUUCCCUCCAGAUAACAAAAACUCAUCAUUUACCUACAGAGCCACACAUCAGUUAAUGCCAGGGAUGCCUUAUCAGAAAUUCCUCAUUAGCCAAUUUCAUCAAUAUGAGAACAUCAUAGAGUAUACCAACUUCAGGGUUGUUUAUGCUUUCACCAAUUAAGAUGGCUACUACGUCACCAGGCAAUAAAAUCUUAUGGGACCAUUGUUGCACAUGUGGUCCAAUCAGAAUGAGGUUAUUCAGUGAGUGAUUAUAUUUCCCACAUAGCACUUAAGUUUGUGUGUAUCAGCCAUCUAUUUUUUUUUUCAGUCUAGAAUGUUCUAAGUUUCUUUUUUUCUCCUUUGCUUGGUUAUUAUUUCUGUUGUAUAUAUGGGGUAAAAUGUGAUAUUUCAGUACAUGUAUAUAAUAUAUAUUGGUUGAAUCAGGAUAAUUAAUGAUGCCUUGCCUAAUCAUUCCUUCGUGUUUGGUGCCUUCAAGCUCUUCUCUUCUUCAUAAAAUACACAAUAAAUUAUUGUGAACUGUAGUCAUCACAC
rnacentral:lncRNA from 1 species